AACGGCCGUACCAUGCUGAAUAUACCGGUUCUCGUUAGAUCACCGAAGUUAAGCAUCAUUGGGCGCGGUCAGUUUUUAAAUUGGGUGAUACCUGGAAUUACUGCGUGCCGU